rnacentral:misc_RNA from 1 species
UGGGCACGGCUUAUUCAUUUUGCUGGUGUAUCUCAUCUCCAAAUUGUCAAAUACUGGCAUUGCAUAUAUCUGAAACGAGCUGAGGCAAUUAGUGACGACAAGCAUACUUGUUAAUCCAAGUAUCACCUUGGAUGUGUCGUGUCCAUGGUAUUUGUAAAGAGCAUUUAACAUCCCUCCAUUUCCUGGUAUCAGGUUUCCAUAAGCCCAAUAGCCACCAAUUGCAAGGGGAAACAAACACAUUGCUAUAAUUAAAUAUGCGAACUUUACUCCUCUCCACAUAGGUAGACGGGAUGGUUGCUUCGCAUUUGAUGGCAUAGUACCCUGUAUUUCAAGCACAAGAUUGUGACCUCUGAAAGCAAAGGCGAUUAUCCCAAGUGCAUUGAGGAUGCUACAAAGACUUGCCAUAUCGAAUUUUUCCUGUGGAGGAUCAUAGGAGAUGUUCAUCGGCCUACCUUGAAUAAUGGACACUACCCAUAUAAGGGUACAGUAGCUAACAGCUGUU